rnacentral:rRNA from 1 species
GACGAACGCUGGCGGCGUGCUUAACACAUGCAAGUCGAACGGACGAGUGAGAUAAGUUUACUUAACUCACAAGUUAGUGGCGGACGGGUGAGUAACACGUGGAUAAUCUACCUGCAACACCGGGAUAACGCUGUGAAAACGGUGCUAAUACCGGAUACGUUCCCUUGUGCGCAUGUAUGAGGGAAGAAAGCUCAGGCGGUUGCAGAUGAGUCCGCGGCUGAUUAGCUAGUUGGUGAGGUAAAGGCUCACCAAGGCGAUGAUCAGUAGCCGGCCUGAGAGGGUGAACGGCCACACUGGGACUGAGACACGGCCCAGACUCCUACGGGAGGCAGCAGUGGGGAAUCUUCCGCAAUGGGCGCAAGCCUGACGGAGCAACGCCGCGUGGGUGAAGAAGGCCUUCGGGUUGUAAGCCUGUCUUAUGGGAAGAAGUCAGUGACGGUACCAUAGGAGGAAGCCACGGCUAACUACGUGCCAGCAGCCGCGGUAACACCAGU